rnacentral:rRNA from 1 species
AUGUCUGUGAUUCUGAAAGAGAAGGGAGAAGCAGAAUCUCUCGCCUCGGAACAUGGGAAAAGAGGAGGGCAAAAGGGCGAGAAAAAGCGAAAGGAAGGCGCGCCGGGCAGGGCAGCAGGCAGGCAGGCAAGACCCUUCCUUUCGUCGUCGACGAACGGGUGGGCACGCCAUGGCCAUGCGAUGCCCAUGCAUGCAACAACCAUGUGCCAAAACCGCUCGAUCUACUGCUGCUUUCUCACCUCCACGCUCACGAGUCGCAAGAAGCCAGAGCAACAUCGCAUCGACGGAACGGAACACAUACGUAUGAGCAAGCAUAUCAGCCUCAAGCCCUCAGCUCGACACGAGUGUCUUCUCUUCCGAUCGCAUCGGAUGCCGCUCCGGCGCGGCGCGGCGCUCCUCCUCGCACUCGCAGGCCGUAGAGUUGAUGGUGCAGCCGGUGCGCUGCCGGGCCAGAGUUUUACUACUGCGGCGCGCGCGCCAGGCAGCAGAAACGGGGGACCAGGGGAGUGGGGAUACCCCCGAGGCGGUGGUGGACUGGCGGUACGGUCACUAUAUUUUAUGGACGCGUCUAGUGGGCGGCCGGCCGCCCUAGGAUCGCUAGCCAGCGGCCACCCGAAAAAAGGAAACCACCUGGUCCCCCUCGAGCGAAAAAGAGGAAACAGUCCACCUGGUCCCUGCCCGUCGGAGCCAAAAAGGCAACUGCCCCGCCCACCAGCUGGCCGCGGGAUCACGUGCACCCUCCUCGCCAAACGUGCACCCUCCUGGCCGCGGGAUCACGUGCACCAGCUGGCCGCGGGAUCUGCCCAGGUUGCAGAAUCCACGCCAUCUCUCGCCCCCACGCCUCAGCCCCACCGACGCUGCCUUCUUCUUCUUCUGCACGCCAGAAACAGAUCCAAACGCAAUCGCCCCCAGCCCUUCUUCCUCCUCCUACACAGCCGCCAUGGGAGCCCCAAAGUAGAAGGAGCUGCUUCAAGAUCUAAAGGGCAGGGUGGUCAGAGCCCAGGCAGUAAGAUCGAGCAGGUAAGCCCCCUCUGCACCUCUUCGCUUCCCCCUUCUCCAUGGAUCCAUGGAGAAUCUGCUUCAAAAAAGAGCAUCCAAUUAUGUGCAGAAAAAUCUGAAAAGAGCUCCUUGCGAAACGGAAACCUACAGAUCAUUGCAACAAAACAAAAAGGGAAAAGGGGAGUGUGUGGCAGCAUCCAAAAACAAGGGGAAAAAAUGCUUGAUCUCAAUGAGUUGCCUCCAGAUCUCAAUGAGCUUCCUCAUGAUAUGGAUCAGCAGCAACCCAGAAUACAACAAGGAAACUGCACAGAAAAUGGUCGAUCUGUUUACUACACGCAGGCAAGUCGUGAUGGUAACCCUACGGGCCAUGACAAUGUGGCAGGCCAGUCAUCAACCCGUGGUGCCCCUGUAGUGAUGUCUUUGCAGUCAGAGAGCCAUACUCUUGAUGACACAGGAACCGAGGCAAAUGUUCCUGGUCCAACCAGGACUGAGCUAGAAGCUGGGGCUUUUGACAGAGUUGUGCAAGUAGAAGAAGGAGAGGAUGAGGCUGUUAUGCAUAUGUGUGAUGUCAACACUCAAGGACCUCCUCCCCCUCCUGGCUGUACACGGCAUCCUCCGCCACCUCCUCCCCCGCAUGCUCCUCUCAAUGGCCCUACAGGCAGCACUCAGGGGGCUCGUCGUCUAGGUGAUGCCAACCCUCAAAGACCUCCUCCCCCGCCAGGCCCAACUAGCAGUGCCCUUUGUGCUACUCCCAAUGGACCUACAGGCAGGACUCAGGGGGCUCAUAACCCAGGCGACUACAAUCCAAGUACCAUGACAGGCCGUGCUACUGCAGGUGAUCGUGACGGUCCUACUGCCCCGUUGGAGGCUGCAUCCCAUGCACAAGCUUCUGAUGAUUUUGUGCCCAGAGAUCCUCCAAGGUCUACUACAAAGGGUAGGGCAAAGAGUCGACGGUACAAAUCGGCGCUGGAGCUACACCCAAAGAAGAAAAACAAAUGCAGCCAGUGCCAAUCUACAGAGCACACUGCUGGUGUGUGUCCACAGAGGCUCCUAUGA